rnacentral:lncRNA from 1 species
CAGGAAUUACAAUGAUUUGACAUUAACAUUCAUAGUAACAUAUGCAAUAAGUUUGAUUUGUUGGAACAGUAACCGCACAGUCAGCUCGAUAAAGGGUCAAUCCACGGCUAAUUAGAAGCACGUUGCAAUAGUCUGAGCAUUUUCCUCCCGACCCCACUUUACAAUCAAAUUUCGCACUCGUUUCGCAAAGCUUUUCUGCACAAUUUCUCAAGAGAUGAGAGAGAGAGAGAGAGAGAGAGAGAGAGAGAGAGAGAGAGAGAUGAUAGAUGUUCUUACCAGCUGAGACGAGAGAGAGAUAAACAUAAGUAGCAAGAGAGAUGUAAUGAGCUUAGCCAUUACUAGCGAUAGUGAGAUAACAAAUAUUAUAGUAAAUCAAAAUUCUUUGGGACU